rnacentral:rRNA from 1 species
AGUGAACGCUGGCGGCAGGCCUAACACAUGCAAGUCGAGCGGCAGCGCGUCCGACCACCCUCGGGUGGUCGGAUGGCGGCGAGCGGCGGACGGGUGAGGAAUGCAUCGGAAUCUGCCUCGUUGUGGGGGAUAACGUAGGGAAACUUACGCUAAUACCGCAUACGACCUACGGGUGAAAGUGGGGGACCUUCGGGCCUCACGCGAUGAGAUGAGCCGAUGCCGGAUUAGCUAGUUGGCGGGGUAAAGGCCCACCAAGGCGACGAUCGGUAGCUGAUCUGAGAGGAUGAUCAGCCACACUGGAACUGAGACACGGUCCAGACUCCUACGGGAGGCAGCAGUGGGGAAUAUUGGACAAUGGGCGCAAGCCUGAUCCAGCCAUGCCGCGUGGGUGAAGAAGGCCU